rnacentral:rRNA from 1 species
UACGGAGGGGGCGAGCGUUAUUCGGAAUUAUUGGGCGUAAAGGGCGCGUAGGCGGCUUGGUAAGUCAAAGGUGAAAUCCCUCGGCUCAACUGAGGAAUUGCCUUUGAAACUGCCUGGCUUGAGGCCGGGAGGGGGUAGCGGAAUUCCCAGUGUAGCGGUGAAAUGCGUAGAUACUGGGAGGAACACCGGUGGCGAAGGCGGCUACCUGGACCGGUUCUGACGCUGAUGCGCGAAAGCGUGGGGAGCAAACAGG